rnacentral:rRNA from 1 species
GUGGCGCACGGGUGAGUAACGCGUGGGUAAUCUGCCCUGGACAUGGGAAUUUCACCUCGAAAGGGGUGCUAAUACUCGAUAAGAUCCCCUCCGGAAAAGGUGCGCUUCAGGAUGAGCCCGCGUACCAUUAGCUAGUUGGUGGGGUAAUGGCCCACCAAGGCAAUGAUGGUUAGCUGGUCUGAGAGGAUGGUCUUCCACACUGGAACUGAGAUACGGUCCAGACUCCUACGGGAGGCAGCAGUGAGGAAUCUUGCGCAAUGGGGGAAACCCUGACGCAGCAACGCCGCGUGAGUGAUGAAGGCCUUCGGGUCGUAAAGCUCUGUCAGAUGGGAAGAACGACGGUACCGUCAGAGGAAGCACCGGCUAACUCCGUGCCAGCAGCCGCGGUAAUACGGAGGGUGCAAGCGUUGUUCGGAAUUAUUGGGCGUAAAGAGCGUGUA